rnacentral:rRNA from 1 species
CUAAGCGCGAAGCCAACUUCAAGAUAAGAUUUCCCACCGUAAGGGUAAGACCCCAGGAAGACUACCUGGUUGAUAGGUCGAAGGUGUAAGUGCAGUAAUGUAUUUAGCUUAUCGAUACUAAUAGGUCGAGGACUUGACCA